rnacentral:rRNA from 1 species
AGUAAAAAAGCGUAACAAGGUCUCCGUAGGUGAACCUGCGGAGGGAUCAUUACACAAAUAUGAAGGCGGGCUGGAACCUCUCGGGGUUACAGCCUUGCUGAAUUAUUCACCCUUGUCUUUUGCGUACUUCUUGUUUCCUUGGUGGGUUCGCCCACCACUAGGACAAACAUAAACCUUUUGUAAUUGCAAUCAGCGUCAGUAACAAAUUAAUAAUUACAACUUUCAACAACGGAUCUCUUGGUUCUGGCAUCGAUGAAGAACGCAGCGAAAUGCGAUAAGUAGUGUGAAUUGCAGAAUUCAGUGAAUCAUCGAAUCUUUGAACGCACAUUGCGCCCUUUGGUAUUCCAAAGGGCAUGCCUGUUCGAGCGUCAUUUGUACCCUCAAGCUUUGCUUGGUGUUGGGCGUCUUGUCUCUAGCUUUGCUGGAGACUCGCCUUAAAGUAAUUGGCAGCCGGCCUACUGGUUUCGGAGCGCAGCACAAGUCGCACUCUCUAUCAGCAAAGGUCUAGCAUCCAUUAAGCCUUUUUUUCAACUUUUGACCUCGGAUCAGGUAGGGAUACCCGCUGAACUUAAGCAUAUCAAUAAGCGGAGGAAAAGAAACCAACAGGGAUUGCCCUAGUAACGGCGAGUGAAGCGGCAACAGCUCAAAUUUGAAAUCUGGCUCUUUUAGAGUCCGAGUUGUAAUUUGCAGAGGGCGCUUUGGCUUUGGCAGCGGUCCAAGUUCCUUGGAACAG